rnacentral:rRNA from 1 species
AUUGAACGCUGGCGGCAUGCCUUACACAUGCAAGUCGAACGGUAACGGGCCUUCGGGUGCCGACGAGUGGCGAACGGGUGAGUAAUGCAUCGGAACGUACCUUUCAGUGGGGGAUAACGUAGCGAAAGUUACGCUAAUACCGCAUAUUCUGUGAGCAGGAAAGCAGGGGAUCGCAAGACCUUGCGCUGAUUGAGCGGCCGAUGUCAGAUUAGCUAGUUGGUGAGGUAAAAGGCUCACCAAGGCGACGAUCUGUAGCGGGUCUGAGAGGAUGAUCCGCCACACUGGAACUGAGACACGGUCCAGACUCCUACGGGAGGCAGCAGUGGGGAAUUUUGGACAAUGGGGGCAACCCUGAUCCAGCCAUGCCGCGUGAGUGAAGAAGGCCUCGGUUGUAAGACUCUUCGUCCGGGAACGGAAAGUAC